AAGUCGUAACAAGGUUUCCGUAGGUGAACCUGCGGAAGGAUCAUUAACACGUUAUCCACGUAUCCACCAACGAGAACACGUUUUCACGCUCUCUUCGGGAGAAUGAAUUGGAGCUUGCUUAGAGUUAUUGAAUUGGGAUGCUUGCGUCAGACUCUACUCGCUACUUGAGGGAAAUGCGCGUUCUGCGCGCGCCCUCUAACAAUUGGAUCUCUUGGAAGAUUAAUCUCACUGAUCAGAUUCCAUUCAAUUACAUAGUUCAGUGGGAAAACUAUUUACCCCUUUCACCCCCCUUUUUGCUAGUUGACUUUUAUAUGUUGUAUGUUUGUUUCGGCAAAUGUGCACACGUUUAAUUAUUUGAACGUUAAAAAUACAACUCUUAGCAAUGGAUAUCUAGGUUCUC
rnacentral:misc_RNA from 1 species